ACUCCUACGGGAGGCAGCAGUGGGGAAUAUUGCACAAUGGGCGCAAGCCUGAUGCAGCAACGCCGCGUGAGCGAUGAAGGCCUUCGGGUCGUAAAGCUCUGUCCUCAAGGAAGAAUAAAUGACGGUACUUGAGGAGGAAGCCCCGGCUAACUACGUGCCAGCAGCCGCGGUAAUACGUAGGGGCAAGCGCUAUCCGGAAUCACUGGGCGUAAAGGGUGCGUAGGCGGUUUUUCAAGUCAGAAGUGAAAGGCUAUGGCUCAACCCAUAGUAAGCUUUUGAAACUGUUAAACUUGAGUGCAGGAGAGGAAAGUGGAAUUCCUAGUGUAGAGGUGAAAUUCGUAGAUAUUAGGAGGAACACCAGUGGCGAAGGCGACUUUCUGGACUGUAACUGACGCUGAGGCACGAAAGGCGUGGGGAGCGAACAGGAUUAGAUACCCUGGUAGCACAGAG
rnacentral:rRNA from 1 species